rnacentral:rRNA from 1 species
GGGUUGUGAGGUUAAGCGACUAAGCGUACACGGUGGAUGCCCUGGCAGUCAGAGGCGAUGAAGGACGUGCUAAUCUGCGAAAAGCGUCGGUAAGGUGAUAUGAACCGUUAUAACCGGCGAUGUCCGAAUGGGGAAACCCAGUGCAAUUCGUUGCACUAUCGUUAACUGAAUACAUAGGUUAACGAGGCGAACCGGGGGAACUGAAACAUCUAAGUACCCCGAGGAAAAGAAAUCAACCGAGAUUCCCCCAGUAGCGGCGAGCGAACGGGGAGCAGCCCAGAGUCUGAAUCAGCUUGUGUGUUAGUGGAACGGUCUGGAAAGUCCGACGGUACAGGGUGAUAGUCCCGUACACCAAAAUGCACAGGUUGUGAACUCGAAGAGUAGGGCGGGACACGUGGUAUCCUGUCUGAAUAUGGGGGGACCAUCCUCCAAGGCUAAAUACUCCUGACUGACCGAUAGUGAACCAGUACCGUGAGGGAAAGGCGAAAAGAACCCCGGCGAGGGGAGUGAAAAAGAACCUGAAACCGUGUACGUACAAGCAGUGGGAGCACCUUCGGGUGUGACUGCGUACCUUUUGUAUAAUGGGUCAGCGACUUAUAUUCUGUAGCAAGGUUAACCGUAUAGGGGAGCCGCAGGGAAACCGAGUCUUAACUGGGCGUUAAGUUGCAGGGUAUAGACCCGAAACCCGGUGAUCUAGCCAUGGGCAGGUUGAAGGUUGGGUAACACUAACUGGAGGACCGAACCGACUAAUGUUGAAAAAUUAGCGGAUGACUUGUGGCUGGGGGUGAAAGGCCAAUCAAACCGGGAGAUAGCUGGUUCUCCCCGAAAGCUAUUUAGGUAGCGCCUCGUGAACUCAUCUUCGGGGGUAGAGCACUGUUUCGGCUAGGGGGUCAUCCCGACUUACCAACCCGAUGCAAACUACGAAUACCGAAGAAUGUUAUCACGGGAGACACACGGCGGGUGCUAACGUCCGUCGUGAAGAGGGAAACAACCCAGACCGCCAGCUAAGGUCCCAAAGUCAUGGUUAAGUGGGAAACGAUGUGGGAAGGCACAGACAGCCAGGAUGUUGGCUUAGAAGCAGCCAUCAUUUAAAGAAAGCGUAAUAGCUCACUGGUCGAGUCGGCCUGCGCGGAAGAUGUAACGGGGCUAAACCAUGCACCGAAGCUGCGGCAGCGACACUAUGUGUUGUUGGGUAGGGGAGCGUUCUGUAAGCCUGCGAAGGUGACCUGUGAGGGUUGCUGGAGGUAUCAGAAGUGCGAAUGCUGACAUAAGUAACGAUAAAGCGGGUGAAAAGCCCGCUCGCCGGAAGACCAAGGGUUCCUGUCCAACGUUAAUCGGGGCAGGGUGAGUCGACCCCUAAGGCGAGGCCGAAAGGCGUAGUCGAUGGGAAACAGGUUAAUAUUCCUGUACUUGGUGUUACUGCGAAGGGGGGACGGAGAAGGCUAUGUUAGCCGGGCGACGGUUGUCCCGGUUUAAGCAUGUAGGCUGGUUAUCCAGGCAAAUCCGGAUAAUCAAGGCUGAGGUGUGAUGACGAGGCACUACGGUGCUGAAGUAACAAAUGCCCUGCUUCCAGGAAAAGCCUCUAAGCAUCAGGUAACAUCAAAUCGUACCCCAAACCGACACAGGUGGUCAGGUAGAGAAUACCAAGGCGCUUGAGAGAACUCGGGUGAAGGAACUAGGCAAAAUGGUGCCGUAACUUCGGGAGAAGGCACGCUGGUGUGUAGGUGAAGCCCCUGCGGGUGGAGCUGAGACCAGUCGAAGAUACCAGCUGGCUGCAACUGUUUAUUAAAAACACAGCACUGUGCAAACACGAAAGUGGACGUAUACGGUGUGACGCCUGCCCGGUGCCGGAAGGUUAAUUGAUGGGGUUAUCCGUAAGGAGAAGCUCUUGAUCGAAGCCCCGGUAAACGGCGGCCGUAACUAUAACGGUCCUAAGGUAGCGAAAUUCCUUGUCGGGUAAGUUCCGACCUGCACGAAUGGCGUAAUGAUGGCCAGGCUGUCUCCACCCGAGACUCAGUGAAAUUGAACUCGCUGUGAAGAUGCAGUGUACCCGCGGCAAGACGGAAAGACCCCGUGAACCUUUACUAUAGCUUGACACUGAACAUUGAGCCUUGAUGUGUAGGAUAGGUGGGAGGCUUUGAAGCGUGGACGCCAGUCUGCGUGGAGCCAACCUUGAAAUACCACCCUUUAAUGUUUGAUGUUCUAACGUUGGCCCCUUACCGGGGUUGCGGACAGUGUCUGGUGGGUAGUUUGACUGGGGCGGUCUCCUCCCAAAGCGUAACGGAGGAGCACGAAGGUUAGCUAAUCCUGGUCGGACAUCAGGAGGUUAGUGCAAUGGCAUAAGCUAGCUUGACUGCGAGCGUGACGGCGCGAGCAGGUGCGAAAGCAGGUCAUAGUGAUCCGGUGGUUCUGAAUGGAAGGGCCAUCGCUCAACGGAUAAAAGGUACUCCGGGGAUAACAGGCUGAUACCGCCCAAGAGUUCAUAUCGACGGCGGUGUUUGGCACCUCGAUGUCGGCUCAUCACAUCCUGGGGCUGAAGUAGGUCCCAAGGGUAUGGCUGUUCGCCAUUUAAAGUGGUACGCGAGCUGGGUUUAGAACGUCGUGAGACAGUUCGGUCCCUAUCUGCCGUGGGCGCUGGAGAAUUGAGGGGGGCUGCUCCUAGUACGAGAGGACCGGAGUGGACGCAUCACUGGUGUUCGGGUUGUCAUGCCAAUGGCACUGCCCGGUAGCUAAAUGCGGAAGAGAUAAGUGCUGAAAGCAUCUAAGCACGAAACUUGCCCCGAGAUGAGUUCUCCCUGAGACUUUAAGUCUCCUGAAGGAACGUUAAAGACGAUGACGUUGAUAGGCCGGGUGUGUAAGCGCAGCGAUGCGUUGAGCUAACCGGUACUAAUGAACCGUGAGGCUUAACCUUACAACGCCGAAG